rnacentral:rRNA from 1 species
AUACGUAGGUGGCAAGCGUUGUCCGGAUUUACUGGGUGUGAAGGGCGCGUAGGCGGGAUGGCAAGUCAGAUGUGAAAUCUUCGGGCUCAACCCGGAAACUGCAUUUGAAACUGUCGUUCUUGAGUAUCGGAGAGGCAAGCGGAAUUACUAGUGUAGCGGUGAAAUGCGUAGAUAUUAGGAGGAACACCAGUGGCGAAGGCGGCUUGCUGGACGACAACUGACGCUGAGGCGCGAAAGCGUGGGGAGCAAACAGGAUUAGAUCCCCUGGUAGUCCACGCCGUAAACGAUGAAUACUAGGUGUGGGGGGACUGACCCCCUCCGUGCCGCAGUUAACACAAUAAGUAUUCCACCUGGGGAGUACGGCCGCAAGGUUGAAACUCAAAUGAAUUGACGGGG